rnacentral:tRNA from 1 species
GAACUGUGGCUUGGUGGUUAAGCAUUUGUUUCACAUGUAGAAGGUCCCAGGUUCGAUCCCUGGCAUCGACA